rfam:Gossypium hirsutum cultivar TM-1 chromosome 11, whole genome shotgun sequence
AACCCAUGGUGAGGGCAUCUUCGCAAAAGGUCCUUAUAUCUCUCCCAUCCAUCGUAGAGCGCCUCUAAAUCUAUCUGCUAAAAAGAAGAGAUAUCAUAUCAUAAUUU